CACAACAACAGCAUAGAGAACUCAGUACUGAAUUACACAAGUUUGAGUUCAGAUAGGAUAGAACAUCUCGAAGCGAGACAGGGAAUCGACAACGGAGGCGGUAGUAGGAGGCGACGGAAACAAGACAUUCACAAGCAGCUCGCUCUUCGGAUUGCUAGCAGCGGCAGCUUAAGACCUGCUCUUGAAUGGAAUUGCCCUGAUGAUCACCUGAUGGUAGACGGCGGCAAGGGCAGCGCCGACAAAGGGGCCGACCCAGAAGAUCCACUGCAAAAUGAAACAAGGGAGGUUAUAAUCUUUCUUCAAGGAAUUACUCUUUUUUUUCUCUCUUCAACGUUGAUAGGUUAAACAUGAGAAAUGAAGUGUUGUCAUGUCACAUAGCUUGUACAAAACUGGUACAGUAGUUGCUAGCUACAUAUACACAAACAGCUCACUUUUCAGAACAAAUGAGCUACUAAACGCCUAUUGAUAGUGUGCCAUUAUGUUAGAAUAACUGAAGUCGUCGAGUGUAUGAUUAAUUGUGGUUGGUUACAUACAAUGCCUGAUCAGUUGAUACUUCCGAGAACUAAAGAACAUGAAAAAACUCUGCACCAACUAUCAACCAAUAUUCCCCACUAUGAACCACAGAAAGUGCUGAUUACAUGUCUGAUAUAUUCAGCCAGAAUCAGUUCUAUUAUUAGUGGCACAAUUUGCUGAAAAUGGCAAGUAGGUAAGAGUUGUUUCACUCACAUGGUCAUUCCAGGCAUGCUCCCUGUUGUAGAUGAUGGCAGCUCCAAGGCUCCUAGCAGGGUUGAUGCCGGUGCCAGUGAUGGGAAUGGUGGCCAGAUGGACCAGGAACACCGCAAACCCAAUUGGCAGUGGGGCAAGGAUCUGUUUUCACAUACAUUGGAUGGGAAGAUGUUACAGCAUGUACCAAAAUAUAUUACUAGAAUCAUAGUUAGAAGGCAUACACAAUUUGCUGGAACAAGAUGAACUGGACAAACUGAAUUCUGUUUUUUAGGAGGACAAUCUAAAUUUUAGCCAUAUAGUGCAUACAACAUUAUCGCUUACAAGUUCCAAGCACAUCAGUUCACUAGCUCUAUUCGUAUAAGACAUGUUUAUAUGAUUACACGCCAGAGGUAGAUCCAUAGAUGUUCACCAGAAUAUGAAUUACAUCAUGUUACUGGUUAUGACGACAACUAGUACAUCGGAUAGCUUAGGCCAAACUAACAACUACGACGCUACCAGCAGCAUGUAGUAUCAUAUCAAACAAAACUGGGCAAGUAAAGGCGUAGAGUACUUACAGGAACAUGGGAGUCUCUGGCAUUCCUCUUGGCAUCAGUGGCUGAGAAGACAGUGUAGACCAGUACGAAGGUGCCAAUGAUCUCGGCACCAAGGCCGUCACCCUUGGUGUAGCCACUGGCAACUGCAUUUGCGCCACCACCGUUACCCAUGUACAGCCCCUGCUGGAAGCCCUUCACCACUCCAGCUCCACAGAUGGCCCCUAGGCAUUGCAUAACUAUGUAGAAGAUGGCCCUAGUCAGGGACAGCUUCCUGGCCAAGAACAGCCCAAAAGUCACUGCAGGGUUGAUGUGUCCUCCUGUUACAGUAGCAGAUAAUAGAGAUUAGCGAGCCCUUAACUUGUGUUUUUGUUGUUAUGAUUCUUAACCUAGGACAUCUUGCCGUUCUCUCAAGUCCUCUCAAACUUUGAUAUUUAACCAAGCAGAAUCUGAGAAUCAGAAGCAGUACUACUGAAGGUUGGACCACAAAAUUAACUUGGUAGCAGUUUACAGAGAGACAUUGUACACGUUGACAAUGAAAGAUGCUUAUUAACUACCACUAAAUGCUGUGCUGCCCGUAGUAAAGAUUAAGUAAGCCGAUUUUGUAAAAAAAAUAUUACUGCAUAUCGUUUACCUCCAAGUGAAACGUAAUCAGGAUCAAGUGAUUAAAAUGAAGUUUUCCGUGUGCACUUUACAGGUUUGAGUAUCCAGAUUUGGGGCACUACAGAAGCGCUGGGUGAAAAAAAUGAGUUUUAUCCUUUAUCAAUAGCUGUGACUGCCUUGGCAUACAAACAACUUUCACAUACUAAAGCAGUGCAGUGUGCCGACGAAAUGCCAAAUAGCUGGAGUAGUAAAUUACAAUAGGACAAAACUCUAGGUGGAAAGGAGGUACGUAUUGGUACAAGAACAAAACGUAAGAACCAUAAAUAUGACAUCAAGAGCACUAAUAAGAAGCUUAGCUUGUAAUAUAGCGGAACUAAUAUUAUGUUCUAGGA
rnacentral:lncRNA from 1 species